UUUUUUUUAGUAGUUUUUGUCAAAUACUGAUUUCUUAUCCCAAAAGCUAGGAUUUUUGAGUUUGUCAAGCACUAGAUUGCUAUGGUUAUUUACUCUCAUAUAUUGUGAAUCUAAUCUAUUCCUAUUGUAAAGAUUAAAAUUUAGGGAAGAUGGGGAGACUGAGGCAGGUAGAAAUUAGUUUCUCUCUGCAAGGAGUAUUAUAUUUUUUAGAGGUUUAUUAAAGGUUAAAGAUUAAAGAAUAUACAAGUAAGAAACAUGUGCCUAGGCCAGAGGCCUAGACAAAAUAACCUCACAUCACGCAAGCGACCGUCUGCUCCAAAACGGAAGUCCAAAAAGAGCCAAGAGCCACUCAAAAGCCUUUGAAUCAGCUUAAAUACCAUCUCGAUUUCGGCCCAGGUGAGAUUACAAGGCAUUCUGGGGAGGUGGAGUAAAGGCUCAUGGGGAUUGUAGUCCUGUAUUCGAGUCUAUUUUUUACACUAUCUAAUCUAUUGUGAAUUCUAAUCUAUAUCUAGAUUAACGAAUCUACCAUUCUAUCACUUAGCCAGUACCAGAUUGUUUCGAUGAUUUCUGCUUUAUAGUAUAGUUUGAGGUCUGGUAUUGCUAGGUGGUGUUCAAUCAAUUUUUUUUUCCAUUAAUACCCUUGACAUUCUUGACCUUUUGUUCUUCCAGGUGAAUUUUAUUAUUUUUUUUCUAGUUCUAUAAAAUAAAAUUUUGGUAGUUUGAUUUGCAUGGCACCAAAUAAAUAAAUUAAUUUUGUAGAACUGCCAUUUUAUUAUAUUGGCUUAGCCUAUCCAUGAGUAAUUAAUUUUCCCCCAUAUAUUUAUAUCUGAUUUUGUGUGAAAAGUAUUUUGUAAUUAUCUUCAUAUAAUUCUGGUGUUUGUCUUGACAAGUAGACUCCCAGGCACUUUAUGUUGGCUAGAGUUAUUUUAAAUUGAUUUUUCCUUUCUAUCAUUUGCUCCUGGAUUCUCAUGAUAAAAUAUAGAAAUGUUGAUGAUUUCUGUGGAUUUAUUCUGUAACCUGCAACUUUGCUAAAAUUAUUUCAUCUAGCUUUUUAGUUGAUUCUUUAGGAUUCUCUAAGUAUACUACCAUAUCUGCAGAGAGUGAGCUUAGUUUCCUCAUUGUCUACUUUAAUUCCUUCAACUUCUUUUUUAUUCUCUAUUGCUAAACCUAGCAAUUUUAGUACAAUAUUAAAUAAUAGUGAUGAUAAUGAGUAUCCUUGCUUCACACCUAAUCUCAUUGGGAAGGUUCCUAACUUAUACCCAUUGCAGAUAAUACUUGCUUAAGGCUUUAGUUGGAUACUACUUAUCAUUUUAGAGACAGGCCUAUUUAUUCUCUAUUUUUAGUGGUUUUGAUAGGAAUGAGUGUUGUAUUUUGUCAAAGUUUUUUUUUUUAUCAAUUGAGAUAAUCAUGUGAUUUCUGUUAGUUUUCUUAUCGAUAUGGUCAAUUAUACUGACAAUGUUUCUGAUAUUAAACCAGCCCUUUAUUCCUGGUAUGAAUCCCACCUCUUCACAACCAAUGACCCUUGUGCUAUAUUGUUAUAGUUGCCUUGCUAGUAUUAUGUUUAAAAUUGUUGCAUCUAUAUUCAGUAAGGAAAUUGGCCUAUGAUUUUCUUUUUCUGAUUUUGCUCUUACUGGCUUAGGUAUGUAGUAAGCAAAGAAAGACUGCAAAAUGAUUGGCAGGAGCAUGUGACUCAGAACCACAUGAGAACCUGGGUAAAGAUUCCAAGGGGAGUGUGCUCCCAACUGAAAAUAGUCUUCUUGCUGAAGAUUUGGAGGUAGCUGAAAUUUCCACCUAUCUACAAGAUAUAUGAUCCUCUGUGAGAUACCAACUUGAGGAAAGAGACUGUUUGAAUAGCUAUUAAGGAAUGUUUAAGGGGGCGAGACAAGAGUGUACACAUCUCUAAAGCCACUGUGCCCAGAAGACAUCUAUGAAGUAUUUAUCCCAGGCCCCCUUUGUGCAUAUCCACAAUUUGUGUGAAAGUAAAACAUCCAGUUUCAUGCUAAAGUUGUGCUAUUUAAGAGAGAUUCAGAUGACAACUGAUUUACACACCCCAGUCAAAAUUACCAUUUUUAUUGCCAGAGAAAACUGCGGGAGUGGGAGGAUGUGAAUUCUUCCUGAAUCACCUAAUAGGAAAGGAAGCUUGUUUGAGACAGUAUCAAUGUUAUCCUCCCCGCCCCCCCCCCCCCAUAAAUUAUUGGCAUUGAGUCAUUCCUACCACAGAGAUGAUUGUUUGUAGUCUUCAGGGCUGCAAAUUAUUAGUGGACUAACUAGAGUCACUCUUGGUUCCUUUUGACUUGAUGAAAUUGAUUAAAAGCUAUAAACAUAAGAA